GGGGGCGUAGCUCAGAUGGUAGAUCGCUCGCUUAGCAUACGAGAGGUCCGGGUCGAUACCCCGUGCCUCCA